UCCCUGGUGGCUCAGAUGGUAAAGUGACUGUCUGCAAUGCAGGAGACACAGGUUCAAUUCCUGGGUUGGGAA
rnacentral:tRNA from 1 species